rnacentral:rRNA from 1 species
CAGCGUAUAUUAAAAUUGUUGCAGUUAAAAAGCUCGUAGUUGAAGUUCUGCUAAAAGUAACCGGUCUGCUUUUAAUAAAAGUGGUAUCUUGGUGUGUAUUUAGCAAUGAUGUCCUUUGAAGUGUUUUUUACUUUAUUGUAAUAAAGCAUAUUCAGGACUUUUACUUUGAGAAAAUUAGAGUGUUUCUAGCAGGCCGACGCUUUGAAUACUGCAGCAUGGAAUAAUAAGAUAGGAUUUUAGUUCUACAUUAUUGGUUUUAAGAGCUAAAUUAAUGAUUGAUAGGGACAGUUGGGGGCAUUUGUAUUUAACUGUCAGAGGUGAAAUUCUUAGAUUUGUUAAAGACNAACUACUGCGGAAAGA